rnacentral:rRNA from 1 species
CCUACGGGUGGCAGCAGUGGGGAAUAUUGCACAAUGGGGGAAACCCUGAUGCAGCGACGCCGCGUGAGUGAAGAAGUAUUUCGGUACGUAAAGCUCUAUCAGCAGGGAAGAAAAUGACGGUACCUGACUAAGAAGCCCCGGCUAACUACGUGCCAGCAGCCGCGGUAAUACGUAGGGGGCAAGCGUUAUCCGGAUUUACUGGGUGUAAAGGGAGCGUAGACGGCAGCGCAAGUCUGGAGUGAAAUCCCAUGGCUUAACCAUGGAACUGCUUUGGAAACUGUGCAGCUAGAGUGCAGGAGAGGUAAGCGGAAUUCCUAGUGUAGCAGUGAAAUGCGUAGAUAUUAGGAGGAACACCAGUGGCGAAGGCGGCUUACUGGACUGUAACUGACGUUGAGGCUCGAAAGCGUGGGGAGCAAACAGGAUUAGAUACCCCAGUAGUC